rnacentral:tRNA from 2 species
GCCGGGGUGGCGGAAUGGUUAUACGCGGUGGAUUCAAAACCCACUGCCGCAAGGCAUGAGGGUUCGACUCCCUCCCCCGGCA